CAUAAUCUCUGAGGAGAAAAGCAGGGGAUCGCAAGACCUUGCGCUUUUGGAGCGGCCGAUGCCUGAUUAGCUUGUUGGUAAGGUAAAAGCUUACCAAGGCUUCGAUUAGUAGCUGGUCUGAGAGGACGACCAGCCACACUGGGACUGAGACACGGCCCAGACUCCUACGGGAGGCAGCAGUGGGGAAUUUUGGACAAUGGGGGCAACCCUGAUCCAGCCAAGCCGCGUGAGUGAAGAAGGCCUUCGGGUUGUAAAGCUCUUUCAGCCGGAACGAAACGGUUACGGUUAAUACCCGUGACUAAUGACGGUACCGGAAGAAGAAG
rnacentral:rRNA from 1 species